GCUUUCCGGGGUCGUAAAAACCCUGUCAGAGGAGGAAGAAUCCGCUUUAUGCGGAUGACGGUACCCUCAGAGGAAGCCCCGGCUAACUCCGUGCCAGCAGCCGCGGUAAUACGGAGGGGGCAAGCGUUACCCGGAUUGACUGGGUGUAAAGGGUCCGCAGGCGGUCAGAUGUGUCGGGUUCUGAAAUCCUCUGGCUCAACCAGAGAAUUGGAACCGAUACUAUCUGGCUUUGGGUCAGGAGGAGGACGACGGAACUGCCGGUGUAGCGGUGAAAUGCGUAGAUAUCGGCAGGAACACCAGUGGCGAAGGCGGUCGUCUAUUCCUGAACCGACGCUCAGGGACGAAAGCGUGGGGAGCGAUCGGGAUUAGAUACCCCGGUAGUCCACGCUGUAAACGAUGGGUGUUAGGUGUCGGUCCUUAAAAGGAUCGGUGCCGAAGCUAACGCGUUAAACACCCCACCUGGGGACUACGGCCGCAAGGCUGAAACCCAAAGGAAUUGACGGGGGCCCGCACAACCGGUGGAACAUGUGGUUUAAUUCGAUGAUACGCGAAGAACCUUACCUGGGCUUGACAUGCCAGUAGUAGGACCCCGAAAGGGGGACGAUCCAUCCCUUUUGGGAUGGAAGCUGGCACAGGUGGUGCAUGGCUGUCGUCAGCUCGUGCCGUGAGGUGUUGGGUUAAGUCCCGGAACGAGCGCAACCCCUGCCCGUAGUUACUCGCCCUUAAAGGGCAGCACUCUACGGGGACUGCCUGCGUUAAGCAGGAGGAAGGUGGGGAUGACGUCAAGUCAUCACGCCCCUUAUGCCCAGGGCUACACACGUGUUACAAUGGCCGGUACAAAGGGAUGCGAAGCCGCGAGGUGGAGCAAAUCUCAAAAAGCCGGCCCCAGUUCGGAUUGCAGGCUGCAACCCGCCUGCAUGAAGCUGGAAUCGGUAGUAAUCGCGGAUCAGCCAUGCCGCGGUGAAUACGUUCUCGGGCCU
rnacentral:rRNA from 1 species